rnacentral:lncRNA from 1 species
ACAUCUCUGUUAUGUUGCUUGAUGGGAAUCAAUUCUCGGGUGAGCUUCCAUCCGAGAUCAUCUCAUGGAAGUCGCUCAAUAAUUUGAAUCUCUCAAGAAACAAACUUUCUGGCCCAAUUCCCAAGGCAUUAGGUUCUUUACCUAACCUUAAUUACCUUGACCUGUCAGAAAACCAGUUCUCAGGUCAAAUUCCUCCUGAACUUGGUCAUUUGACGCUUAAUAUCCUCGAUCUAUCGUUCAACCAACUCUCUGGGAUGGUCCCCAUUGAGUUUCAAUAUGGAGGAUAUGAACACAGUUUCUUGAACGAUCCCAAGCUGUGUGUCAAUGUUGGCACUCUGAAACUCCCUAGAUGUGAUGCCAAAGUCGUUGACUCCGACAAAUUGUCAACCAAAUAUCUCAUUAUGAUCCUAAUUUUUGUUGUAUCUGGUUUCCUAGCUGUUGUUUUGUUCACCCUGCUCAUGGUUCAAGAUGAUAAUAGGAAGAAUCACAGUCGAGACCAUACACCUUGGAAGGUUACCCAAUUCCAAACACUAUAUUUCAAUGAACAGUACAUAUUGACCAGUUUGACAGAAAAUAAUUUGAUCGGACGCAGUGGUCAGGGGAAAUAUACCGAAUUGCUAAUAACUGUUCUGGUGAACUCCUAGCGGUUAAAAAGAUUUGUAAUAACAGGAGAUUGGAUCACAAGCUUCAGAAACAAUUCAUAGCAGAAGUCGAGAUAUUGGGCACCAUACGCCAUUCCAAUAUAGUGAAGUUGUUGUGCUGCAUAUCGAAUGAAAGCUCAAGCCUUCUUGUUUAUGAGUACAUGGAGAAGCAGAGUUUGGAUAGAUGGCUUCAUGGGAAGAAGCAGAGAACAACGUCCAUGACAAGUUCAGUCCAUAACUUUGUCUUGGAUUGGCCAACAAGGUUGCAGAUUGCUAUCGGAGCUGCAAAAGGCCUAUGCCACAUGCAUGAAAACUGCUCUGCCCCGAUCAUACAUCGAGAUGUGAAGUCCAGCAACAUCUUGCUAGAUGCCGAGUUCAAAGCAAAAAUUGCGGAUUUUGGAUUGGCCAAGAUGUUGGUCAAGCAAGGAGAGCCCGACACCAUGUCAGGAAUUGCAGGCUCUUACGGAUAUAUUGCCCCUGGUAAGACCAUCAAGGCCCUCCUUUCCACAUGUUUUCAUUUCCAUAAUUUAUCAAUAAUUUUUAUCAUACAAUUCUUGUAUACUUGGAUGAUAGAGUAUGCUUAUACAACAAAGGUGAACGAAAAGAUCGAUGUAUAUAGCUUUGGAGUAGUCCUGCUUGAGCUAGUGACGGGGAGAGAACCCAACAACGGGGACGAGCUCAUGUGCCUUGUAGAAUGGGCAUGGGAUCAGUUCAGAGAAGGGAAAACCAUUGAGGAAGUGAUGGAUGAGGAUAUCAAGGAACAAUGUGAAAGAGCACAAGUGACCACUCUCUUCAGUCUAGGCCUCAUGUGCACCACCAGAUCACCAGCCACUAGGCCCACAAUGAAGGAAGUUUUGGAAAUUCUUCGACAAUGCAGUCCUCAGGAGGGCCAUGGAAGAAAGAAAAAGGACCAUGAAGUUGCACCCUUACUUCAAAAUGGCACUUGCCCCGCUACUUACAAGCAUAACGAGAAGGGAUCAGACAAUGAGGAUGACGAUAAAUUAGUUUGAAAUUUACAGCUUGUAAAUAAGUGUAAGAAAGCUUGUAAAUUAAAGGUGGUAGUGAUCUUAGGAAGUGUGUUUAGCCUUUUUAUAAUACUUGAAAAAUAAAAAUUUGCAAGUGUUAAAAGGUUAAAAACACUGUUGGAGGUACCUAACAUCUGCAUAUCUUUAAUACACCACCUCCCAAAUGAGGUAAUUGGAAACGCACAAAAUCACCUCAUCCCAAAACUAGGACCAUAAAAGAAGACGACCUCUCGGUCCUGCGGGAUGACCUGACUAAUUGACCUAUGCCUAGAAAAACGAAUCCAACUACCCGUCUCCUCAUGUGCCCAAAAGUCAACCAUGCCUCUGAUAUGCUGCAAAAAACCAAUACUUCAUGAUCCUUCACAAGGAAAAGUGGCUAUAAAAGGGGAGCCUUUUCCUCCUCUAAUGACUCUCUCUCUCAGCCUCUAAAAGAAAGCUGUAGAAAAUGUAGAAAAUGCAUUUCUAUACCCGGAAAAUAGUGGAAUGAAAUCUCCAAUAUUUUCCUUGAAGAAUUUUGGAUUCUUCAUUGGCAUAAUGGAGGACCGAGAGUGAAGUUUAAUCAGUCCAAAGGGAUUUGGAUGUCAAUUCUAUCUUUGUUCAACAUCCAAUAUCUUCCACUAUAAGCAAAAACAACAGCAAAAACAUCAACAACAAAAUUUUCUAGGGGAGUUUUCCUUUAGUUUUUUCUUCUCCUUUUAUAAAUCUUCCUUUAAUCACUUUUGUUUUGCGUAAUAUUCAAGAAAAUGUCAACUUUGUAGCUUUAGGAAAAUGAGCAACUAACCUCUCGAUUAUCUCUUUGUUUUGGGUUUUUCUAGUACCACUUGUGAUUGGUUGUUCCUUAGAAUUGAAAACAAGAAAAUAUGGAUCGAAAUAGCAGCUCACAAGCCUUUGUUUCAUGCUAAGCAAUUCUUGAAUAUUAUGGAGUUCUAGGGAAACAUGUCCACUUGCAAUCUGCAGCUUCAGGUUUUAUGAUUUAGGCCUCAAGCACCAUGGUUUAGCCAUCUCAAUCAGUUGUUGAAGGGGACAAUGUCUAACCAAUUUCAAAGGGUACAACCUCACAAAUCCUCGAUCUCAAUAUCGCCUCAGGUAAAUAGAUAAACCUAGAAACCUAACCUAACAAAGGUACCUAUUCUUUAACCAAAUAGUUGAUCAAAAGCUACAAAUCUUUGAAGAAUGCAAUAUCCAAAAGCUAAAAAACUUUGCAGAAGUGUUUGUACUAUAUAAUCUCCACCUUGACUAUCCAGACAAUCUCCACCUCGACUAUCCAGGUGAUCUCCACCUUGAUUAUCCAGACAAUUUUCAUCUCGGGCAGUCGGAGGUACCUCAUUCUCAAAUACCAACAAAGUAACCCAAUUUGUACUUGUCAACCAAUACACAUAUCCUCACAAUUGAUUGUUUAACCCUUAUCAAAUCAACCACCCAAGAUAUGUUGGGCCUUGUUCAACUGGCUCAAGAGUUUGCCCAACCUCCCACCUGCUCAGCAUGCAUAUGUUAGAAAUGUCUAACUCCUUCUUUCAGAUAAAAUUGGUUGACAGUUUUAUGCUUGGUUGAAGCCACUCAUAUAGAAUUUGGGAGCCAUAACAAUUACCAACAAUGUAUGAAGGAGGCAAACUUUGAGGCACCUCAAAUAUUCAAGAGUUAGAUACAACUUAAGAGGUUAUUUAUCUUACCUAACCUCAACAGGAAGUCAUCAAAAAGCACAAGUACAAUCUUGAUGUCAACUCACAUACAUAUCAGCCAAAUGGAAGAAAGUCUUGUCACCUAAGCAAGCGAUCAACUAAAGUUCAGAUAAGUCUUCUCUAACAUAUUUAUCUUAUAAUCUUUGGUUAAUUUCAUUUGUUUCAUUUUACAAGGACUAAUUGUGAAAAACAAACACCUUUCAAGUUAGGAAAACCUUCCAACUAAAAAUCUAAGGUUGAAUUAGUCUCAAAACAAAAACUCUUAUUAAUAGUCUAGCUAAAAACAAACGGUCAAGGUGAGUGACCAAACAAAAAACCUCGACCUAAAACCCACUUCUGGCAUUAGUCCUCUCAAUUCUAGAUGUACUUUGUUGAACCAUCCCUGUGGUCAUACAUGGAAAUUACCUUGAUGCAAAACUGACCUCUCACUCUUCUAGAGAUGGAUCACCUGUGUGCUUUGUGGACCUUCAAGUAAAGGUCGCACUUGUACACAAGCUCUAUCUCUAGGUAUGAGUUAACUUUAUGCCAAACCAACCUCCCUCUAUGAGCAUGUGUUAUCCUUGUGCCAAAACCUAAGUGGUCAAUUCCAACAAUUCCAGUGUAUAAAAGAACUUAACCUGAAUAUUUUUCUACUAUCCACUCUAAAAGCAUUACAUGCAAACUAAAUGAUUGAACUUGCCUAUUGACUUGUGGCAUAAGAAUUAUUUCAGGGCAAAACAAGUUACGAAAUAAGUCCACCUCAUGAUUAGAUCACUUAAACAACAGAUCGAGAAACUCAAGCUAGCAAAUAAUGAUAACCUCUUAAUCAAGAGUAACAAGUUGGGGAACCUAGCUAGAAAGGUUGGCCCUAGCAGAAAGGCAUCCAAGACCCUUACCUCACAUAAGGGGAAGUGGGUGGGAAGAAAAAAACUAGGUCUCGAAUAAUGAAGUAUGACAUCAGAAUUUACAACAAACAACUUGGGAUUUGUGUGUUAUCUAUCUAUGUUACUUCCAAUUUGUGAUUGGAUACAAUAUGAAGGAAUCUCGAAAAAUAGCAUCACAAGACACAACCUUAUUAUUAGUUGGCCCCAAACUGAAAAUCAUUCAAAUGUGAAAGCUUUGAGUUGAACAAUGUUGGGACGUAAAUGCAAAAAAUUAUCUACGGAGGUUCAUUAGUUAAAAUUGCAAGUCAACUCAGCCUAAGAGGCAUCAAAGCAGUAGAACUGAGAAUGUGCAUCACCUACAACUUCCUAUUUAUUUCAAAAAAAACUACAUAUCCGUUAUGUGGCCUUAAAGUUCAACCUGCAUAAGAAACCCAAUCGAGCAUCUUUACCAUUGUUAGCAACUCAUGAUACUAGCUAACAAUUGUGAAUGACUACUCUUCUGAGUUUUCCCUAUUAACUUACAACGACCUACUAUCAUAUGGUUCUACUAAUUGUCUGGAUAGUCAAUACAUAGCUCCGCUAACUCUAUGAACUAUUCCUAAAAUAUUACAGCAACAACCCCCAACCAAGGAAAAAUGCAAACUACCUCGUUAAUGUAAGGUAAACACCUAAGGAAUCCUUGAUAAAAUUUGUUUAGUUAUUCAUAUCAGAAAUAGUGCAAGUAGAAAGCAAUGAUCAAAGAACUAUGACAAAGGCCUUUAGAAAAGCCUUGUCUACAAGAAGUCCACUACUUGGGUCAUUAGUAAGGGAUAACCUUCCCCACAUACCAGAUCAAGCUAGAUGAACAACUUGAAUUAAACCUUACAGAAAAAGCUACGAUAUCACAAUUCGCACAAUCAACACCUACCUACUUGACAAGGCUGAGGGAAAAAAUCAAGUGGCAAUCAAAUCAAUGUUAGUCACAACACAACUAGAAGAAAAGUUGGUUUGAUAUAGGAAGUUCAACCAAUAUAUUCUUUGACAACUUCUUUCAGCAAAUGAAUAAGUCAUGACUUUGACUCGAAUUGUAAGCUCUUAUGGAAAAUCUUCCAAUGCCUAGAUUAACUUGACCUUGGAGCAAAAGUAGAACUAAAGUCUCUUUCCUGAUGAAAAAGUCUCAGUCUCCUUACAACAUCAUUCUCAAGCAACAUUUUGUGGAUGCAGUAUCUCCAUCUUACAAUAAGAUGCUUGAGUUGGGAAAGAGAUCUAACAAUGAUAUUAUGCUUAAAUUCCAAAUCCAUCUCAACCUGAGAUAGCUCCGCAAAAAGGUUAACCAAACAGGAUGACAUACUCAUCCCCUAAUCUGGUUCAAAUGAGAAGAGUGCAUCAAAAACAACAAAGUAUCACCAAAAAAAUAACACAAAAUGAGGAACGAGUGGUAACUACAUUGACCUUAAUAAAGUUUGUCCUAAAAUUAGUUCUCCCCCGCCAAAGAUGGGCCAACUUUUGGACUCAAUAUCAUAACAUGAGGAAAAAAAGGUUCAAGAACCCUCAACCAUCUUGUGAGCUUACUCAACUAAAAGCAAAGGAGCAUUAAUCGUAAUGUUGAUCCAUCAAGAAUGAUAAACAAAAACUACAACCAAAAGGUAGAGACUCUUACAGGUGCUAAAACAGGUAUUCAAAAUAACCUCAUAAAAGGUGUGUUUGUGACCCCAACUUGAUGGUAGCAAAGUGCCCAAACCAUGAAACCAAGCACACCUAAAAAGGUACUAUGUCUAAACUAUAUAGCUAGUUUUAACAAUUUUGGAAUGUUUUAAUUACCUCAAUAAACUUCGCACCUUAUCUCGAUCCUCACGUAUGUGCUUGCUAAAGUGAAAUUUGCAAGAUUGAGAAAGACUGGGCAAUAAUCCUCUAGGAAGAGUUGUUCAUACAACUGAGAUCUAAGCCCUAUUACCAAAAGACAACCAAAGCCAAGCAAUUGGUUGAACCUCAUCUGGUCUAUAUUAAUUAGAAUUAUGAUCAAUUUUGUUAGCCAAGAACUAAAACAAUUAUCAUUUGGGACCAUUCACCUCUCUAAGAAGUCAAGGUCAUAAUUUGUCACUUCCUCUGGCCAAAUAAGUGGGUCUAUAAGCCUGCAACACUACACAUAUUUCCCCAAUCUUCCCUACCAUGUAUCAAACUAAAUUUCACUAAGCAACAAUUAGUACACAUUUUUUAUCACACAAAACCCACACAACAACAAAAAGUUGAAUAAGCCCAAUAAUUGGCACAACGCACAUAAAGUGUGGUCAUCAACACCCCACAAACAACAGAAAGAAAGAGAAAAAAAACUAACAUUGACACAAUUCAUCAAAGUUGCAAUCAUCAAAAUUAGCAAAACAAUGUAGCAAAAGAAAAAAACCCCACAUAAGCACCAUUCAUCAAAGUAUUCUCCUAAUGAAGUGUAAAAAAAUGGUCAUCCUCAUCAUAAUGGUCUAAAGUAUGGAAAAUACCGCCAUCAUCAAGGAGACUUUAGCAAAUGAGUUAUAACAAGUACAAGAGGGUCAUACUCUUUGCUCUUACUAGCAAGCCUAGUCUUGUUUAUAUUAAAGCUCUUGAUGCAAAGGCAUAUCAACCCCACACCUAUAAAUGAGGUAGAAAGAUUUGUAUCACCAUUUGAUUGUUCGCCUUGACCUGAUCAUCCAAUAUGCAUGGAAGCUGAUCAUUGGGAUCCUCAACACUUGUGAAUAAAACAAAAAUGAGUAAGACGUGUCAACCUCAUCAACAAACAUCAUAUCCUUGGCAAAAGUGGGAAUCAAACACAAAGAUUUUUUCUUUCUCGCCAUUCCUAGGGAAGAUCAAGACCUAAACCCACUCAUAGACACUCUUAUAUCAAAUACUAAGAGGAAUCAUGUGAUCCUUCGAAGACCCAACCUCAUCACAUGCAGAAUUGGGUCAUCACCAACUAAGCCCUGAUCAAUGCUUAACACUUAAGUGAAACAAAAGACAACUAAAUACAAACGAAAAGAAAGCUAGCGACAAGCAAAGAAACCACUUAAAAUGUCAAAACUAGACAAGCCAACGUCCUCAACUUGAGCUACAUCUAGUUGGAACUAUUUGAUUGAACUUAUGGCAUGACUUGAACUCAAAGCAAAGGUUUCCACACGAACAUUCGAUUGAGCUACUUACUCCAAUAUGACACCUCAAACAAGACUUUGUAAUACAAAACCAUAUCUCACAAUUGCAACACCAGCUAAAACAACAACAAAAUAAGCAUCAACAACAAAUGGAAAAUAUCCCGGCACGCCAAAAUGACCUCAUAGAUCAACUACAAAACAGCCUAGCCAAUUCACGGCCACUAGGCUAACCAAAUUGACGUUGGGAGGAAAGUGCAACGAGUUGCAUGCAUGAAGCCCCAUCAACCUGGGUUAAACCAAAAAAAACUAGCCAUCAUUAGCACACUAUCCGAGAUCGUUACAAAGUCCUACCCUCUUCUAGUCAUAGAAGAUGUCAGGACUUGGGAGGGACUAGAGGUACCAAAAAUUAACAUAUCUUUAAUACACCACCUCCCAAACAAGGUACAUGAAAAGACACAAAAUCAUCUCAUCCUAAAACCAAGACCAUAAAAGAAGAUGACCUCUCAGACUUGUAGGAUGACAUGACUACAAUCUUGAAGUUGUACUUCUAUAGUUGGGCCCUAAAAGAGAACCCGGUAGGGAGGAAGGGCAGCAUAUAAACCUUGUCCAAUGGGCAUGGUAGCACCUUUGAGGAAGAAAGUCGUUUGUGAAAGCAUUGGAUGAGAAGAUCAUGGCACAAUGCUACUUCAAAAAAAUGAGCACUAUAUUCCUAAUAAUCAAACUUAAUCAUGAAAACUUUGAAAAUAGUGAGAAUUCUCUUACCUACAAGUAUAAAGACAAAUAGACGGAAGGUAAAUAAAUCAUUAAUAGAACUUAAAAUAAUAAAUUGAGCAAAUAAACAUAUGGUAAAAUUGGAACUCAUGAUCCUCCUACUAAAUAAUACCAUAUUGGAUAACUAAAUUUUUUAAGAACUUAAACAUAAGAUUUGGAUCUUUAUGAUCGUGUAUCAUGCUUUCUAAUAAUAUAUUAAAUACUUUUCUAGAUUUUGUGUUGACUUGUGAUUACUUCUCUAAAUCAAUUUUUCAGCAUCCUAUAUAUAUGUAUUUGUUAGGAUGGAUCAAUUUUUCAGAAUCAAUUAUCAAAGAAUGCAAAAAUAUAACUCCUCAUAGAGUCUCUUGUUUUUCCUCUACGACUUAAAAGAAGUCCUUAGUGCUUUCACAAGGAAAUAGGAUAAUUUUUUUUAUCUUCAAACCUGCACAAAGAUAUGGAAACCAUAUCAUUGAAAUAAUUAAAACGGAAAACAACUGGAAUCAAAGUGCUAUUGCCUUAUUUUUUUUAAAAAAAAAAAUCUUGGGCUUUAUGCAAAACUAAACAUUAGUUGCCUAAAUCUCCUUAAUUGGAAUACUAGAUGGGUGUAUCAAUUCAACUUGACACCUUCUUCCAUAAAUACCAAAAAUGAUAUUUGUUUUGGGAACAAGACUAGAGUUUUGAGCAGAUAUAAUACAUUUAUGAAAAAAAGAUAAUAAAAUGGAUUUUCAACUAAAAUAAUUCCCAAGCUAGUACAUUUCAACUAUGUGCGUAUCCGUAUGGCGUGAGAAUGUUUUUUUUUUUUAUAUGUUCUUUUAUAUCACAACUAUAAUUAGUAACUAGGAUUUUGAUUUUUUUAACAUAAAAUCAUAGAUAGAUAUUAUAAUUUUAAAUUUAUUUUUAAAAUCACAGUCAUCAACUAUAGUUUUAAGUUUAAAUUUAAAAUCAUAGUUAGUAACUAUUAUUUUAACCAUUUUCCAAAAAAAAUCAAAAUUAUAAUUAAUAACUACGAUUUUAUGAUAUGAAACACUCCAAUUUGAAAAUUAUUUUGAGAGGGGAUCUACUUUGUAGAUUUUUAUUUUAAAAAAAAUAAAUUAUUUUUCCUCAAACCUCAAAAAACAAACUUGUUUAGAACUAAAUUCAAUUAUACACUUCUCUAAUUUUUCUUUACCCUAAUAGAAGAUCAAUUCCAUUUUAUCACUUUUCCACCAGAAUCCUCAUGACUACUUGUAGAAUUCUUGAGAUGAAAUGAAAGAGUGGUAUGAGAUGCUUGUUUAAACUUUAGUUUCAAUCUCGAUCAAUGUUGUCCAUUCCCUUAGCUGUGCAUUAUUCCAAUGCCAGUUUUCCUCCAUAAACUCCAGGUACAAGAUUAGAUUCCGUGUGGAAUGGAUCCUGUUGUGAGACUUGACCAUCAAUAUCCUUCUCUCCAUUUGUGGGGUACUGCCCACUUGAUCACUGCUGUGGAAAUCUGACUAACACACCCAAAUUCUCAACAACCCAAAACCACAGAUUCCUGCAUCCUUCCAUCCAUCUUUCUUUAAGUAAGAUAGACAUCCAUUUGGUCUUUGUUUUUCAUUUAUUUCACUUUCUCCCAAGAAUACUAAUCUUGUCUUUAUUGACUGAUUAGUUUCAUUAGAGAUCAUCCAAGCAAAAGAAUAUCACAUUUUAUAUUAAAAAAAAAAAAAGUAUUGAAUAUAUUAGAAAGAUAUCAUCCUCGAAAAGUUGGAAAUGUAAUCUUGUGCAAGGAAAGGAAACAAGGGAGAGUCUUAAAUAAAUUGUUUCCAAAAGAGACCUAAUGACCAAUGUCUUUAGGGGUGUAUCCUUCAUGUAUAUAAAUAAGAAUUGAAAGCGAGGGAAUAUGGAAGUUUAGGGACAAGAUUUUGUUUUCUAUGAAUAAAUUAAAUGUGGCUUCAUGACUUCCAACCCUUACUUCGUCUUUCUCCACAUUAAAUAGCCCUUUUGAAAGUAUCAGUGGAGAUUGGCCCGAUUCCAAUGGAAUCGAUCACCUUUUCCAUAAUGCAUAGUUUGAUUAUGUUAGGAUGAUUAGGUCACCAACCAUUUGCUAAGCGUCAUAUCUUUUUUCUACACCAACUCAAAAACCCCACUUGGCCAAUAUGUUUUUAUUUUUUAAAACCAAUAUAAAUAAGGCAUUAACACAUCCAUUCUCAUGUUCCUCUACCUAACGUUAACCAUUUUCAUAUCUCUAGCAUAUCUCCACCCAUAAUAUCUAAAUUUUGAAGUGAUUCUAGUAAAAAUACUUUUUAAAAAAAUACUUUAAUCAAAAACACAUCAAACAAAAAUACUAUCAAACGCACUUUUAAUUUAUAUUAUUUUUUAUCAGUAACACUUUUAUUAUAAAAAAAAAAAUACUUUUAGUGGUAAUCAUUUAAUAUUUGAAUAUACAAAUAAAAAAACCUUUUUUAUAAUAUAUUAGAAAAAAAAUGGUUUUUAAAAGAAACAUCCAUCAAUAUAUUAUAUCACAAAUUAUUGUCUUUAAAACCUAAUUUUUAUUAUUAAAAAAAUGCCAAAAUUACUACCAAAUCAAUUCUAAGAAUAGUUUGAAAAUGGGUUGAACUUUUAUAUUUAUCAAGAAAAAAUUGUAGAAGUAACCACUAUCUUUGAAAAUUAUAUGUCAAAAAUAUUUUUAUUAAAGAGAAAGAUAAUUAUAAUAAAGCUAGUUGUCAUUACUUUUCAAUAACACAAAGAAAUCAUAUGGAGCUUAUAAUCAAAAGUUCUUUUCAAAUGACUAACAAAGGUUUUUAUUCCUUGAGUUGUUUUUACUACUAUUUUUAUCAUUUACCUAUGUUAUUAAUGGUGAUUAAAUGAUAAAAAAAAUAUUUAAUGCAUAUUAAUUUCUUUUCACAUCCAAUUUUCAAGUGGAUGUGCUAUAAAAAUGUUGUAAAAUAAUUUUUUUUAAAUAACAUUUUCAUGUGUGAUUUUUUAUUCAUAAUUAGUUACAGAAAAAACUUAAAAUGCUUAGGUAUUAUUAAAACGACUCCAUUUCAUAUUUGACACCAACACAUGUUAUUUUAUCAUCUAAUAUUGUUAUAUUAAAAAACACUCAAUUUAACAUGAAUAUUAUUAUUAUUAUAUAUUUAAAAUUAUUUUAAUCUUUCUAUUUAAAAAAAAAAAAAAAUUGUAUGCAUUAUCCAUAUUCCCAUGAAAUCCAAACGUGUCCCAUGAUUGUAGACUAAUUCGUCUAUAGUGUGGACGCAAUGACAAGUCAGAAGUCUCCCAUUUCUUUUCUAGUCAAUGGGCAUGUUCCACAUUUAUUUAUGAUAUUUCGGAUUACACGAAGACUUCCAAAAGCAAUUGGUUUGAUAAGCUUCAUGGAAUCUGAAGAUAAAGGAGGAUGCUACUUCCACAUUCUUUAACCGAGCGUAUCAACCACGCUCUCUCUAAUUUUUCCAUAUUCUUAAUUUCUAAAAAAAAAAAAAUUCAAUAUGGUAUAUCUAUUUUAAAAUUAUCUUUUUGAUAGAUAUUUUAUAAAUUAUUAUAAAUUUUAAAAUAUUUUUUCAACUAUUAUCCAUCUCAAAUUAUUUCUAUAAACUACCUUUUUUUUUUAUUUUAUAUUAUCUAAUUUAAACAGUAACAAGAUGAUUUCACAUAUGUUUUUUUAAGUAUUAUUAUGUGUGUCAUUUUAUCUUAAUUUCAUUCGUUUGCAUGUUGGACUUACAACAUAAAUUUCAUUACAUAUAUUCAACCAUUUAGAAUUUUUGUUUGAUAUGUAAUACUCUACCCGAAUAUGUUCUCAAAUUAUGUAUGUUAUGGGGAUAUAUAUAGAUAUAUUAUGGUCUAUUCCAUUUCCAUCACUUCAUGAGUUUCCCCUAAUCCACUUACUCCACUCUCAAUAAUGAUGAACUAUAUCUUGAAAGUGAAGUUGGCUUCACUCAUCCCCCAUAAAAGACCUAUCCUCAGGAGUCAAGACACUCGAAUUUGAACUUGAAGAGGAUAGAUCCCUGACCACCACCAUCUAUUGUCUCCUAAUAGGGGAGAUAUUAUUAGCCUUUUUUUAUUCUUUUACCCCACCUUAACCAAAAAAUAAGAUAAUCUUAUUACAAGAUUAUAAAAGGAACUUACUUUUCUUUAUUUAUGAUAUUUUUCUUUAAAUAAUUCAACUUUAUUAAAGCUAAGUUAGAUGUAAAUUCUGAUUAUUCUACUUUUGACCAAAUCAUAGCGGUGACCAACACUAGCUAUUAAAAAAUUAAAAUAAGUGAAAAAAAAACACUUUUUUUUUUUUACUUUUAUUUUUUAGCAUUCAAUUGUUAGAGCUUCAAAACAAUGAACUAAAAAGAUAAAACUAAGUGCAAGUUAAAAUAGAGAAUAAGGAACUCAAACAUUUUAUAAGACAUACUUGACUAACAUAAGUGAAAAUAAUUUUUUUUAAAAUAUAGUUCUUGCUUUGUGUGAAACAAAGUAGUAUUAUUUUUAUAUUUAUUUCAUGUUAUCCAUAAAACAAUACAAAUAACUUCAAUAGUUUGAGUGCUCUCCAAUUUUUAAAAUUCACUCUCACAAUUUCAAGCUAUAUUUGCUAAAGCUAUACGUUGGAUUUCUAAAAAUGAGGGAAUAUAUAAGUUAAUGGAUGAAGGUUUGAUUUUAACAAUAAGGAUCGUGUUAUUGUGCUCAUACAAUUCGAACCAAAAUAUACGCAACAACUCUUAAAAGUAAUGAUGUAAUGUUACUUAUGUUGGAUUUUAUGAAAAUAUCAAUAAAAAUACUUAUAUUCGUGUAAAUUUUUUGUGGUAUCUUAUAAACAUUUUAUGUUUUAUUGCUUUAUAUAUAAAUCUAAUUUCAUUUCAUUCAUCUAUAUUUAUCUUAUCUAUUUAUGCUUUAACCCCAUAUAUUUUUAUUUUCAUUCAAUAUAAAUUUUAUUAUAUAUUUUCAAUGAUAAAAACAGAUGUACAUUUAAUACCCAAACUUUUUCUAACAUUAAAGUAAAUAUAAUUUCACGAAUUUCAUAUUUUCUAUCAUCUUUACCAAAAUAAAUCGAAUGGGGUUGAUCACUUUUUUCCCAUUCCAUGAUUUGAUUGCGUGAAGAUGAUUCCAUCACCAACCAUUUACUAAGAUGUGACACCCAUUUUCUACACCAACUCAAACACUCCCCUUUUGUUAAUAGCUUUUAGCCGAUAGAAAGAAGUGAACAAAACCGUUUUCACAUUUCACCUACCAAGGCUAAGAAAUAUAAAUAGAAAUAGAAAUAAUUACUAUUUGUUAAAUAUAUAUUUUAUGUUUUAAAUAUAUAUUUUUAUUAAAAAUAAAAAUAAUCAUGAUAUUAAUUUGUUAAAAUUUACUCUUACAUCAUCUAAUAUAAAUGAAUCAUGUACGAAAAUGCAAGAAUUAUGAUCAAGAGUUCCAUCCAGCCAAUUAUAAAAAUGAUGUUUUACCUUUAACACAGGCUCUUCUAAUUCAAAUCUUUAUUCAUUUUCUCUUAUUGUUAUUAUUUAAAUAUAUGAUUAAUCAUGAUUAGAUAUUACAAAAACUUUCAUAUUUAAUAUAUUCUUUUAUCAUCGAUUAAGUUUGAACUUUUUUUUUGUUUGUGUAUAUCUUUAUACUUUUUCUUCUUACAAUUUUUUUUUUCACAUUUUAAUAUUUUUAUCAUAUACCAAAGCUUCAUUUAAAAUUUUCGUGUUUUUGAUCAUUUUUUAUUUGUAUAAAAAUUUACAUGAAUAUAAAUAUUUUUAUUGAUAUUCUGAUAAAAUCCAACAGCAGGGACAUUUCAUCAUUGCUUCUUGAGGUGGUGCGUGUAUAGUGCAUAUAGCAUGGGAAUAAGGACACGUCUCCUUUCUGACUAUUCAAUUCAAUGCCCUUUCACAUUCAUUUAUUAAUUGUUUGGACUAUAUGAAGACUUGUGAAAGCAACCUUCCCCCGUUUUCUUGACGCAAGCUGCUACUUCCACGUGAGCAUGCCAAACACGCUUAGGGCCUGUUUGUUGGUGUUUUCAAAUACAUUUUUGGAAACAGUUUUUAGUGUUUUCAGAAAUAAAAUUAUAUUUGAAAACUAAAUUCUAAAAAAUAAUUUUUAUUCUCGAAAAUAAAAAGAAUAAAAAAACAUGUUUAGUUCAAUUAAUAAAAAUAAUUUUUAAUAACAAAUAAAACAAAAAAACUUGUUUGGAAAAUAUUAUUGUUGGUUUUGUUUUUUAAAGUCGAGUAUUUUAUUUAACUAAUUGAUGUUGUAAAUAUAUAAAUAAUUUUUCUUCAUAAAAAUAAAAAUGUUCCAUUUUGAACAUUUUUUACAUCAAUUUUAAUUUUUUUAAACAAAUUAUUACUUUGUAAACAUGUCUAAAUAUGUUUGAUUUCAAUAAUUGAUAAACCAUUUUAUCAAAAUAUCAUAAAUCGAUAAAUAUCAAUAAUUAGAUUUUAUGAAGAUAAAAUUUAUGAUAUCAAAUAAUAAUGCAUUAUACUUGGAAAUUGAUGAUCUAUCUUUUCUACUAAUAAUAUAUUUAUGAUAAUUUUUUAUUUAAAAAUAUUUAUAAUUUUAUUUUAAAUUAAAUUUUAUUUUAUAUUUAAGAAUUAUAUAAAAGAUAAUUUUUUUUAAAGUAAAUCAAACUAAUUUAUUUAUAAAAAUUUAUUAAUUUUUACUUGGAAUCCUUGUUCUCUUUUCUCUCCUUCUCCUCAUAUUCUCUUUGUUUCUCUUCCAAGACUCAAACUUUUAUUCAGUGAAAUUGAAUUAUUUCUCUCCUCAAAUAUCAACUCAAUAAAGUCAAAAGUCAAAAUCUAGAUCUAUGAUUGUUGUAAAGAUUCUUGGUUACGAUUUCAUCUUUUAUGUUAUUGUUUAUGUUUUUGUUUGGUUUUUGAGAAAUCCUAGAAUUUAUGGAAGUUUCAGCUUUGAAAUGCAUUAAAAAAAACAUAUUAGGAUAAAAUCCCAAAAUAUCCGAAAAAUAUUGAAAUGGAAAUAAAGAAAAAAUAAAUAAAAAUAAAAAUUGUCGAUUAAGUUGAAUUUUUGUUAAACCGAAUUUUCAAUUUUCUAAUUUUUCCCAUUUUCCUUGGCAGUAUAAAAAAAAAAAAGAUAUAACAAUUUUUCUUUUUCUUUUUUAACUUCACAACACAAAAAACAUCAUUUUAAAACCAAGUUUUAGAAAAUUGAGAACAAAAAAACACUCUCUUAUCAAACAUGAUUUUUGUGUUUUUUGUUCUAAAAAAAAAACAGUUUUUGAAAACACUAACCAAACAAAUCCUUAAUGACUCAUUUUUCUUUUUUCUUUUUUACUUAUUUGUUUAUUCUGUUUUCUGUUUUUAUUUAUAAAGAAAAUAAAAAUCAAGUUUAAAACACAUGUUUAGAUAUUAUUCUUAAUUUUCAUUCUUGAAAAAUUGAGUUCAAAAAAGGUCAAAAAUGAAAAUAAUAAUUUGGUGCUUUUAAUUUUUUUUUUUAUGGCAAUGUUUUUCAAUCUAACAUAAAAAUAGAAAUAUUAUCUUUAGAAUUAAUUAUAAAAUUAUAGUCAAUAAUUUUGUACAUUAUUUUAAAAUAAAAAUAUAAUCAAAUACAAAAUAAUAAAAUAAAACAAGGAACAAAUAUGAUAUAAUAACAUAUAGUAGCAUAUAAUAUAUAAUGUAUAAUAUCAAUAAAUAACAACUAAUAAAAUUAUUAUAUAUGUUAUAUUGUAUGCGCAUGAGGUUUUUGGUAAAUCAAUUUAAUGUUUUAAAGUGACUUCAUAACUUGAUUUAAAUUAUUAAAUAAAUUAAAAUUUUGAUAAAAUAAUUUAAUAUCAGAAUUUAAAAUAAAAAUAAUUUUAAGUGUUAAGUCAAAAUAGUUAAUUUAUUCUUAAUGUCAAAUCAUUUUUAUUAGAUUUUUACUUUGUUUGGUAAAAUUGAGUUAAUAUUUUGAAAUUAUCAAAUUUACAUAUUUAUUUUUCUUAAUUUUAAGUAAUAAAUUUAUUUGUUACACGUUUCCAAAUAUAUAAAAUAAUUACAAUAAUUACUAAAUAUUUAGCUUAAAGAAAAUGAGUCAUGGAUAUAAGUCAUGCAUAUUAUAUAAAUUAGUAUUACAUGUGUGAGUAAAUAAGAUAGAAAUGAUUUAACAUUCAAAAUAAAUUUAUUAUUUUAAUUUAAUAUUUAAGAAUUAGUUUUAAUAUUUAAUAACUCAAAUUAAGUUAUUAAUCCAUUAUAUUGAUUAAUUUAUCAAACACCUUUUAAAAAUCUUUUUUUUUAGUGCCCAAAAAUAAAAUCAAUAAAAUUAUAUUAGUUUUUUGUUCGUCUCACGAUUUAUUUUAUAUGUUGAUCUUACAUUCCAAUUAUUGAUACUUUAAUAACAUACAUUUUGUAUCACCGUGAAAUCAUCUAAACUUAACCUUGCACUGUUGGUACUGAACAACUCCGUGUGUUACAUGCUGGAUGGCCUAGAAUUUUCCUUCUUCCUGUGGUUAGUUGCAAUAGAUUUUCCGGCACUGCAACGUUGGACACGACAGUUGAAGGAGCGCGGACUUAAAAGUAAAAGUGACGUGGAAAAUGAGAGAAAAGAUAUAAAAAGAAUAUGCUGAGGUCACAUUGCCAUUGUCAAUCGAAUCAUAAUUGUGGAAAUGAAUUCUCUAGUGGACCAACCAGCAGCGUGUUGAGUGGCACCCCGGCGCCCACGCCCCAUUGGUCAGCUUGCUUUUGUGGUGUGCAAGGUUUAUUCCAAACCUUUUGAUCAGUGGUUAUACAAGUAGCACAAAUCCGUGUGAGUAGCACAAAACACUGAGUUCAUUGGUCGUGGCUCCUUCGCAAUUAAUUCCAACAAGCAGGUCAGUUUGUAAAAUUCAGUAUAAUAAAUUCUGUCAGCGCCCCAGAUUUUGAAAUUGAACCGUUGGUUUCCACCACAUUCCCAGCAUUCUUCCUCCCAACUUUUGCCCGGCCAUCUUCCUACCUCCUCACAGAGAAUCCGGUAACGAACUCAACGUCACAAAAUGCCGAAACUACCCUUUUUAUUUGCCACAAUUCCAUUUCCCGACCAUCUUCCUCCCUUCUCACAUAGAAGUCGGUAACAAACUCAACGUCACAAAAUGCCGAAACUACCCUUAUUAUUUGCCACAACUCCAUUCCCCACCCUGUUCUUCCUCCUCAUCCUCUCCAUAUUUCAGGUAAUUUCUCAAAAUUUGGACGAUGAACGAUCAAUCCUACUAGACGUUAAACAACAAUUGGGCAAUCCACCGUCACUCCAAUCGUGGAAUUCCUCAUCCUUGCCUUGUGAUUGGCCGGAAAUUACAUGCACCGACAAUACCGUCACUGCAAUUUCACUCCACAAUAAGACCAUCAGAGAGAAAAUUCCAGCCACAAUUUGUGACCUCAAGAACCUCAUCGUACUUGACCUCUCCAACAAUUACAUUGUCGGUGAGUUCCCGGAUAUUCUCAAUUGUUCCAAGCUUGAGUAUCUGCUCUUGUUGCAAAACUCCUUCGUAGGUCCAAUUCCAGCUGAUAUUGAUCGACUUUCACAUCUCCGGUACCUAGACCUCACCGCAAACAACUUCUCUGGAGAUAUUCCCGCAGCAAUUGGGAGGCUACGGGAACUGUUCUACUUGUUUCUGGUUCAAAAUGAGUUCAACGGCACCUGGCCAACGGAGAUAGGUAAUUUGGCGAAUCUUGAACAUUUGGCCAUGGCCUAUAAUGACAAAUUCCGGCCUUCAGCCCUUCCAAAAGAGUUUGGCGCAUUGAAAAAGCUGAAAUAUCUGUGGAUGACGCAGGCGAAUUUGAUUGGCGAAAUACCGAAGAGCUUCAACCAUCUGUCGAGUCUAGAACACUUGGAUCUCUCACUCAACAAAUUAGAAGGUACGAUCCCUGGAGUCAUGCUUAUGUUGAAGAAUUUAACCAAUUUGUAUUUAUUCAAUAAUAGAUUGUCCGGCCGCAUUCCUUCAUCCAUAGAAGCUCUCAACUUGAAAGAAAUUGAUCUUUCCAAGAACCAUUUGACGGGGCCAAUACCAGAGGGUUUUGGGAAGCUACAAAAUUUGACCGGUUUGAAUCUUUUCUGGAAUCAGUUGUCAGGAGAGAUACCAGUAAAUAUAAGCCUCAUUCCUACACUAGAAACUUUCAAAGUUUUUAGCAAUCAAUUGAGUGGAGUUUUGCCUCCAGCAUUUGGCCUUCAUUCAGAGCUCAAACGUUUUGAGGUUUCCGAGAAUAAACUAAGCGGGGAAUUACCUCAACAUUUAUGCGCUAGGGGGGUUUUGCUUGGAGUGGUUGCUUCCAACAACAAUCUCAGCGGGGAAGUGCCCAAGUCUCUCGGGAAUUGCAGAAGUUUGCUCACCAUUCAGCUUUCCAACAAUCGCUUUUCAGGUGAGAUUCCUUCUGGCAUCUGGACAUCCCCGGACAUGAUAUGGGUGAUGUUAGCUGGAAAUUCAUUCUCGGGGACACUUCCAAGUAAAUUGGCAAGGAAUUUGUCUAGAGUGGAGAUUAGUAACAACAAGUUUUCUGGUCCAAUUCCUGCUGAAAUCUCUUCUUGGAUGAACAUAGCUGUGCUCAAUGCCAGCAACAAUAUGUUGUCAGGAAAAAUUCCAAUGGAAUUAACCAGUCUUCGAAACAUCUCUGUUUUGUUGCUUGAUGGGAAUCAAUUCUCGGGUGAGCUUCCAUCUGAGAUCAUCUCAUGGAAGUCGCUCAAUAAUUUGAAUCUCUCAAGAAACAAACUUUCUGGCCCAAUUCCCAAGGCAUUAGGUUCUUUACCUAACCUCAAUUACCUUGACUUGUCAGAAAACCAGUUCUCGGGUCAAAUUCCUCCUGAACUUGGUCAUUUGACGCUUAAUAUCCUCGAUCUAUCAUUCAACCAACUCUCUGGGAUGGUCCCCAUUGAGUUUCAAUAUGGAGGAUAUGAACACAGUUUCUUGAAUGAUCCCAAGCUGUGUGUCAAUGUUGGCACUCUGAAACUCCCUAG